UUUAUCGGCCGAAGCAGGCCCUGAGAUAGUUGCAGAGAUUCACCUCAGGCUCCACGUGCUCCUGCGGCUUCCACUCUGGCUGCGGUCAUAUUCGCGGGCGCCACCUCGGCACAAAUCUGAGCAUCACGGAGUGACCAGAAGGAAAGGACGGACUUAGCUGUCACACAGGAGGGACUGACUCUUGAUGAGCAGCAGGCUUUCAGAUCAUCAGUGUCUGCAUCUGGAUCUCAUGGAGAAGCCUAAGCAUCAACCAGAGGUCCUUGACUUUGAGCAGGAUGCAAGAACUGGAUGAGAUUCUGGGUCUUUGAAUCCCCAGAGAAGAAACCUACCGACUCAUGAGGAACACUGUGUUCAACUGUUAGGGGACGAGAUGGUCUGCUGACAGUAAGAGAGCAGAGUGGAAGUUUGAGAAAAUGGAGAAGGUUGGAAUAGACACUGUGGUGAACGGGAGAGCCAAGCCAAGAAGCCAAGGGAAGCUGCUGGGACCAUGCCACGUGAGGCCCUCAGUCGGUGGUCAGUGAACGAAGAGCAAUGAAACCGAAGACCAUCAGGGUGAAAACAAUGGAUCUGAGUCAGCACAUGUAGCUCAGAGCCACUCUUGUGGGGUCUGGUGUCAAAGUGCUGGGGCUCAAAUCCCCAAUCUGAGCCUCCUGGGUGUGUGCAGCCCACCCUGAGUGAGCAGGACAAGGGGCAGAUGAAAUGCAAAAGGGAACAUGUCAUGAAAAUUGCCAAAGCUGUGAGCUAACUGGAGUUCCCUAUUUUACUUUGGUAUUCAUUUUUAAAUUUCCAUAAUAAAAUUAAAUCCUCCCCCAUUACCUAAAUAAUGGCACCAAACUUGCCUGCAGAGUACAGUUGGUGCCAUAGCUCCCUAGGCACCAACUCGCUAUGCUUCCCAUACAGUGAACAGCCCUCCUCCAGGCCCUCCUCUAGCCAUGGGGACACACGCUCCUCUUGCCCCCACCCCCACCCCUGUGCUGAACCCUGGUCUAUUCCAGCUCCCCAUGUGCACUUCCGCUUGGCCCUCCUCCUCAGUGUGGGCCACACCCUUUGCCCUCACGUGUCCAGAGGUCAUGCCGGUCCAGGGCGCUGGUCACACCAGUCUGCCUCUUCUGCUCUGCCUGCCUACUGCAAACCCCCUAGCGCAGUCACCACCAUCUGCCUUGGGUGGCUGUACCAGCCUGUUGGGAGGUCUCCCAGCCUCAGGUUUUUAUUUUCUCCUACUUCUUCUCCCCACCGUGGCCCCCAUGAACUUUCUCCAGGACAAAUCAGAGUCCCGGAACUGUGUUAGUUAAAACCUUUCCAUGGCUGGCGGCCCAUGUAAGAUAAAAUGCACGGUCCUGAAUGCACCACCUGGCCCCUGUAGAGUCCUGCCUCCUCUGUGCCACCUUCACCCUCAUCAGCAGCAGGUUGGCCACCCUGAACCCCUCUCUUCAAGUUCCCCAAAUGUUCCUGGUCUAGGUCUAUGGCACGCCUUGCCACAGGCUAGAACACUCCCCCUCUGCCUCUUCUCCCAGGUGCUCAGGCUGUCUGCAGGGCUCUCCCUGAAAGGGAGGGGCCCCCCAGAGCCUCUGUGCGUGGGGCCAGGAUUGCCCCCGGGGCUGUUGCACCUGACCCUGCUCAGGUUCUCCCCACAACGCACAGAUACCUGUGGAGCUGAUGCUCCACCAACUACAGUCAGAUAAAGAACGUUGUCCCCACCCUAAGAAACUGACAUUCUGUUUAUGCUGCUUCUUCCCUUGCCACAGGAGGAAAGCCCUUACAGAAGUCUGAGCAAAGUCAGAGCUCCCACCCCACAGUGCCCUUCCCUCCCUGCUCCUCCCAGCCUUGGAUGCCGCUGGGCAGAGGCCUUCAGAGGCCGGUUUGCAGCCUCAGAUGGACCUUAUUCUUUCCCUCUUAGUUUCUAUCAAUCAGACAUGAAAGAACCAUCUUGGACCAGCCUGCUCCUGGUUUCUUCUGUGAAGUCUGGUAGGAAUGUGAUACUUUUCUGAGCCUCUGCAGUGCACCUAGGACCCUUUCCGAACUGGCUGCUUACUUUUCUAAUGAGCUCUUUCUGUUCCCAUGCUGGCUUUCAGCCCUUCUGUCUCCAUGCCCUGAGAUGGUGCACUCUUGUCACUUUGCUAGCAAGUUAAUAAACUCAGAUACAUGCCCAAGAUAGCACGUUUUAACGCCACACACCUAGCACACCCCUUGAAACCCUCUGUGAUGCCCCCCUGCCCAGACUAAGUUAACCACAGCCGACCCACCUGCCAUGCCCUGAAUAUGGCUGCAUCCUUGGGGCUUCUCUCCUGCCGGCUACACCUUCUGUAAUCCUCCCCCAUGGGCCUGCCAAGUCUGCCAGGAGCCUCCUCCUGUGACUCAAGCGGACCGGUGUAGCCCUGUCUGAGCACCUCCCACACCUCUUCCGGGAACCCGUGGUUCUGCUCAGCUCUGGAACCCCAACCCCCAGUGCAGGGCAUGGCAUGUCCAAGGGACUUGGAAAACAUAUGUUGAGUAAUUUAAAUUUAGUCAGAUAGAUGGCAGGCUGCCUUUGUCUCACAUUUAUGUGCUGUCUUGAUUAUUUUUCCCCCUUUGAUCCAGGCUUCUGCUGGUCCCCUCAUCUGGACAUCUUGGCAGAGCAACCCAUGCUGGGGUUUAGAGUGGGGAAGUGGGGGUUGGGGGUGCAUCGUCCCCUAGUAACUCUCUGGGACCCUCUCCCUGGUAGGAGGCUCUUCUCCCCAGGAACCUGAAGUGGAAGCCACCUGGGUCCCCUGCACACAGUGAUCCGAACACCUCUGCAUGUAUCCAGUCAGCUCCUGUGAAAAUCAGGUCUCAUCUUGGCUGAGGACACUACACGGUAAUGGUUCUCAACACAACCAAUAAAUCUGAAAUGUGUGAGAAGGAGCGAGAUCCAGUGAGAGAGAAGCAAUUAAUACAGACCCAUUAAGUCAACUAAUAUUAUUAAACAUUUAAAUUUAGAAAUUGCCCUCCUGGUAUAAGACCACUUUUUAGAGGCAGAGCUGCUGCUUACAUCUCUUUCACACCCAGGCUCCGUGACUACGGAGACUGCCCAGGGGGCCUGUCCUCUCCAGCCCCCCCGCCCCCGGCUGCCCCUCCCUGGUGUAGCUGCCUGGGAGUGGACUGAGCCCUCAGCACCGGCCUCAGUCCUGAGGGGGCCCAGCUGGGAUCCGAGUCCCCAGACUGGGGCAGUAACUCAGGGGCAGAAGGAGAAGGACCACGUGCUUUAGGGCUGAGAAGGGAGGAAGAGGAUUCUGGGGACUCAGAAGGAAGUCUGGGGACCUCUGUGGAGGCUGAGGGGCUGCCCCACUGGUGGGGAGGUGGGGUGAGGAUAGGGGCGCUGUCCAGGAACCAGGCUAGGGGUGACGGUGGGGUGUCCAUGUUCUGGACAUACUGUGACAUGGUGACAUGUGCAGGAGAGUCUCUGGUAGCAAUCCUACUUGUUCAACAAA